rnacentral:rRNA from 1 species
GACGAACGCUGGCGGCGUGCUUAACACAUGCAAGUCGAACGGAAAGGCCCUGCUUUUGUGGGGUGCUCGAGUGGCGAACGGGUGAGUAACACGUGAGUAACCUGCCCCUGACUUUGGGAUAACUCCAGGAAACUGGGGCUAAUACCGGAUAGGAGCUCCUGCUGCAUGGGGGGGGUUGGAAAGUUUCGGCGGUUGGGGAUGGACUCGCGGCGUAUCAGCUUGUUGGUGGGGUAGUGGCUUACCAAGGCUUUGACGGGUAGCCGGCCUGAGAGGGUGACCGGCCACAUUGGGACUGAGAUACGGCCCAGACUCCUACGGGAGGCAGCAGUGGGGAUUAUUGCGCAAUGGGCGGAAGCCUGAUGCCGCAACCCCGCGUGCUGGAUGACGGCCUUCGGGUUGUAACCCGUUUUCGCCUGUGACGAUGCGUGAGUGACGGUAAUGGGUAAAGAAGCACCGGCUAACUACGUG